AUUGAACGCUGGCGGAAUGCUUUACACAUGCAAGUCGAGCGGCAGCGCGGGGGCAACCCUGGCGGCGAGCGGCGAACGGGUGAGUAACACAUCGGAACGUACCCUAUCGUGGGGGAUAACGAAUCGAAAGAUUCGCUAAUACCGCAUACGACCUGAGGGUGAAAGCGGGGGAUCGCAAGACCUCGCGCGAUUGGAGCGGCCGAUGUCGGAUUAGCUAGUUGGUAGGGUAAAGGCCUACCAAGGCGACGAUCCGUAGCUGGUCUGAGAGGACGACCAGCCACACUGGAACUGAGACACGGUCCAGACUCCUACGGGAGGCAGCAGUGGGGAAUUUUGGACAAUGGGGGCAACCCUGAUCCAGCCAUUCCGCGUGAGUGAAGAAGGCCUUCGGGUUGUAAAGCUCUUUCGGCAGGAACGAAAAGGCGGGCUCUAACAUAGCUUGUCAAUGACGGUACCUGAAGAAGAAGCACCGGCUAACUACGUGCCAGCCGCCGCCGUAAUAC
rnacentral:rRNA from 1 species